UAUUCUUUUUAAAGUCGAUUUAUUUAAGUAAAUAACUAUGAAAAGUAUUGUGUCCAGUAGUUCUACUUGUUUCAUGAAAGAGCACACAAGAUUAAACAA
rnacentral:ribozyme from 1 species